UGGCGGACGGGUGAGUAACGCGUGGGUAACCUGCCUUACACAGGGGGAUAACACCUGGAAAUAGGUGCUAAAACCGCAUGAGCGCACAGCUUCGCAUGAAGCGGUGUGAAAAACUCCGGUGGUGUAAGAUGGACCCGCGUCUGAUUAGCUUGUUGGCGGGGUAACGGCCCACCAAGGCGACGAUCAGUAGCCGGCCUGAGAGGGCGGACGGCCACAUUGGGACUGAGACACGGCCCAGACUCCUACGGGAGGCAGCAG
rnacentral:rRNA from 1 species